rnacentral:rRNA from 1 species
AUUGAACGCUGGCGGCAGGCCUAACACAUGCAAGUCGAACGAGUGGCGGACGGGUGAGUAAUGUCUGGGAAACUGCCCGCUGGAGGGGGAUAACUACUGGAAACGGUAGCUAAUACCGCAUACCAUCGGAUGUGCCCAGAUGGGAUUAGCUAGUAGGUGGGGUAACGGCUCACCUAGGCGACGAUCCCUAGCUGGUAUGAGAGGAUGACCAGCCACACUGGAACUGAGACACUGUCCAGCAUCCUACGGGAGGCAGCAGUGGGUAAUAUUGCACAAUGGGGGAAAGCCUGAUGCAGCCAUGCCGCGUGUAUGAAGAAGGCCUUCGGGUUGUAAAGUACUUUCAGCGAGGAGGCGUUACUCGCAGAAGAAGCACCGGCUAACUCCGUGCCAGCCGCCGCGGUAAUUC